GUUUUAGCGACCAACAACCAUUUGGUAGCUAAUAUAGAACCUUUUGCCGGUUGAAGGUAGUGGCGGGAGAGCAUAAAAAAUUAGGCAAAAUUUCUAAACUUUUGGCGACCAAGUGAAUUGUGGUCAUGGAAAAUAAAAUGGUUAUUUUUUAAUAUUUCUAAAACCUAGUGAGCCUCUCAUCCUUUUGUCAUUCCCCUUUUUCUUCCAAUAGCCAUAGUUCCUCUCUGCCUCUACACUCCAUUUGCUUCGUCCCUUGUUCUCUCUCCGCCGCUAGUUCGAUUACUUCCGCCAUCCGUUUGGUUGCUUCUGCCACUAGUUCUGCUGCCUCCUCCACUCAUUUGAGGAAGCAAUAGCUGAACUUGACACUUUAGGUGAAGAAUCAUACAAGGACAACACUCUCAUUGUGCAAUUACUAAGGGAUAAUCUCACUCUGUGUACUUCAGACAUGCAGGACUAGAUAGAUAAGUCCUAAACAUCUUUCAAGCUGACCAGUCAUUAUCUUCACCCGGAGGAUGUGGGCUUUGAAUGUCAUUUGUUUGUGCUGACUAAUUGUGUGUUGAUUGUGAAUGGAUCGAUGAAACUGAUGUUCCAUACUCCAACUUAAACUUGCUUUAAAAUUUUAUAGUGUUUUACAAUGCUCUGCUGAAAGUACUAGUUCCUAUAUUUGCAGUAUUGUUGCAUUUGAUUCCAGUUCAAAAUUACUACCCCUUUUUUCCAGAAAUGAAAAUCGAGGGUCAUAACAAAAAAUGGAGUGAUAUUUACAUUUGAAAGCAACAGAUUGGGAUAGAAAAUGAAAGCAACAGAGAGAUAGAGAGUGUGAAGUCAGUGAAAUAGGUCAGCAGCCCUUAGAAUA